UACGGAGGAUCCGAGCGUUAUCCGGAUUUAUUGGGUUUAAAGGGCGCGCAGGCUGUAGAUCAAGUCAGCUGUGAAAUGUCUGGGCUUAACCCGGGCAUGCGGUUGAAACUGAUGUACUGGAGUGCUGUAGAGGCAAGUGGAAUUCCCAGUGUAGCGGUGAAAUGCGUAGAUAUUGGGAAGAACACCGGUGGCGAAGGCGACUUGCUGGGCAGCAACUGACGCUGAGGCGCGAAAGCCAGGGGAGCAAACGGGAUUAGA
rnacentral:rRNA from 1 species